GCUGCAUAUAAUGAACUAAGGGUAAUUGUUUUCUUGUACUUUUAUUUAGCUCUUUUUAAUGUCUGUGGUUCCACUGGUAGAAGUUUAAAACAGCUAUUUUGAAAGCAUUAGUUCUGUUUAGAAUUUAUAUGUAGUAUUUUUCACAGAAUAGGGAUUCUGUAUACCUCAUUUGUUUUGGCAUAUAUGCUUUCAAUUUUUAUGAAGUUAAAACAGCUACUAUUUUGUUAUAGUUUGUCAUUUGUUUUUUUAGCGUAAAUGCUUUCUGAUUUAAAUCAAUGUUACUGGUGUUUUCAUAAUUGGAAGAAUGUGCUUUUGGUUAUUGAUUUUAAACUAUAAUUCCAAUCAAAGUUCAAAACCUAAUUGAAUUUAGAUGUUUAGAGUUGGAUAUCAUUAUUUUGGUCAUUUACUUUUCUUUUUACGUUUGUG
rnacentral:misc_RNA from 1 species